UACGUAGGUGGCAAGCGAUACUCGGAAUCACUAGGCGUAAAGCGCAGGUAGGCGGUUCGGUAAGUCUUUUGUGAAAGCUCCCGGCUUAACUGGGAGAGGCCAAAGGAAACUACCGGGCUAGAGUGUGGCAGAGGAAGCUGGAAUUCCCGGUGUAGCGGUGAAAUGCGUAGAUAUCGGGAGGAAUACCUAUGGCGAAAGCAGGCUUCUGGGCCAUCACUGACGCUGAUCUGCGAAAGCUAGGGGAGCAAACAGG
rnacentral:rRNA from 1 species